UACGUAGGGGGCAAGCGUUGUCCGGAAUCAUUGGGCGUAAAGAGCGUGUAGGCGGCCCGGUAAGUCCGCUGUGAAAGUCCAGGGCUCAACCCUGGGAUGCCGGUGGAUACUGUCGGGCUCGAGUCCGGAAGAGGAGUGUGGAAUUCCUGGUGUAGCGGUGAAAUGCGCAGAUAUCAGGAGGAACACCAAUGGCGAAGGCAGCACUCUGGGGCGUGACUGACGCUGAGACGCGAAAGCGUGGGGAGCAAACAGG
rnacentral:rRNA from 1 species